rnacentral:rRNA from 1 species
UCCCCCCGAUGCUUUGGGGAGAAACCGGAAGCUUCAUUGUCAAGAGGGAAACAGCCCAGACCACCAGCUAAGGUCCCCAAAUCAUCACUAAGUGAUAAAGGAGGUGAGAUUGCCUAGACAACUAGGAGGUUUGCCUAGAAGCAGCCACCCUUGAA